AUCUUUACUAGCCCUUUGGCUAAGAUCAAGUAGAGUGUUCCUUCUUAUCAGUUUAAUUCCUAUUAUAUCUUUAAUAUGAAAAAAUAUAUUAAAUAUACUUUUGGAAUUAUGGUAUGAAAAAGGACAUUGCACCACCCUUCCUACAUGUCAACCUAAUAUUGCAGCACUGCCUGAAAUAAUUCAC